UACGUAGGGUGCAAGCGUUAAUCGGAAUUACUGGGCGUAAAGCGUGCGCAGGCGGUUACUUAAGUCGGGUGUGAAAGCCCUCGGCUUAACUGAGGAAGUGCACCCGAAACUGAGUAGCUAGAGUACGAAAGAGGGUCGCGGAAUUCCCGGUGUAGAGGUGAAAUUCGUAGAUAUCGGGAGGAACACCGGUGGCGAAGGCGGCGACCUGGGUCGAGACUGACGCUGAGGCGCGAAAGCGUGGGGAGCAAACAGG
rnacentral:rRNA from 1 species